GUAGGACUGCUAGUAGUCUGAUGGUAUCUUCAAACAGUGCUACAACACUGACAGAGUAGGACUGUCUGAUGUCUGAUGGUAUCUUCAAACAGUGCUACAACACUGACAGAGUAGGACUGCUAGUAGUCUGAUGGUAUCUUCAAACAGUGCUACAACACUGACAGAGUAGGACUGCUAGUAGUCUGAUGGUAUCUUCAAACAGUGCUACAACACUGACAGAGUAGGACUGUCUGAUGGUAUCUUCAAACAGUGCUAAACAGUGCUACAACACUGACAGAG